AGGUAUGAGUACACGAAAAGACGGGUGAGACUCCCGUCCGCCGAAAACCUAAGGUUUCCUGGGUAAAGGCAAUCUGCCCAGGGUUAGUCGGCCCCUAAGAUGAGGCUGAAAGGCGUAGUCGAUGGGAAACUGGUUCAUAUUCCAGUACCGAUGCAUGAUUCGAAGGGAUGACGCAUGAGGUGAAACCCGGCCGGAGAACGGUUGUUCCGGUCGAAGCAGUAAGCCGUUGAGGGAGAUAGGCAAAUCCGUCUCCUGAGGUGAGCUGUGACAGCGAGUGGAGCUACGGCGAAGCGAAGCGGGCGUAAUCACGGUGCCAAGAAAGAGUCUCUAAGGUUAAGUCAUGUAUCGACCGUACCGUAAACCGACACAGGUAGGUGGGAUGAGUAAUCUCAGGCGCGCGAGAUAACUAGCGUCAAGGAACUCGGCAAAAUGCACACGUAACUUCGGGAGAAGUGUGGCCUUCUUUGGUUUAGCAAUAAGUUAAGGAAGGUUGCAGAGAGCAGGCCCAAGCGACUGUUUACCAAAAACACAGGUCUCUGCAAACGCGCAAGCGGAUGUAUAGGGACUGACGCCUGCCCGGUGCUGGAAGGUUAAGAGGAGGAGUCAACGGGUUUACCCGUGAAGCCCUGAAUCGAAGCCCCAGUAAACGGCGGCCGUAACUAUAACGGUCCUAAGGUAGCGAAAUUCCUUGUCAGGGACCCGCACGAAUGGUGGAACGAUUUGGGCACUGUCUCGACGCUAGACUCGGUGAAAUUUAAGUAGCGGUAAAGAUGCCGCUUACUCGUGGUUAGACGGAAAGACCCCGUGAACCUUCACUGCAACUUACUAUUGGGACUUGGUUUGACAUGUGUAGGAUAGGUGGGAGACUGCGAAGCAUGGCCGCUAGGUUGUGUGGAGUCGUCGGUGAAAUACCACUCUUGUCAGAUUAGGUUUCUAACCGGUGCCUUCAAUCAGGUAUCGGGACAGUGGUAGGCAGGCAGUUUGACUGGGGCGGUCGCCUCCUAAACAGUAACGGAGGUGCGCGAAGGUCACCUUGCUCUGGUUGGAAAUCAGAGCGCAAGUGUAAAGGCAUAAGGUGGCUUGACUGCGAGUCCGACAGGACGAGCAGGUACGAAAGUAGGUCUUAGUGAUCUGGCGGUGGCACGUGGAAGCGCCGUCACUUAACGGAUAAAAGGUACUCUGGGGAUAACAGGCUGAUUUUGCCCAAGAGUUCACAUCGACGGCAAAGUUUGGCACCUCGAUGUCGGCUCAUCGCAUCCUGGGGCUGGAGCAGGUCCCAAGGGUUUGGCUGUUCGCCAAUUAAAGCGGUACGUGAGCUGGGUUCAG
rnacentral:rRNA from 1 species